UACGAAGGGGACUAGCGUUGUUCGGAAUCACUGGGCGUAAAGCGCACGUAGGCGGAUUCGUAAGUCAGGGGUGAAAUCCCGGGGCUCAACCUCGGAACUGCCUUUGAUACUGGCGAUCUUGAGUCCGGGAGAGGUGAGUGGAACUGCGAGUGUAGAGGUGAAAUUCGUAGAUAUUCGCAAGAACACCAGUGGCGAAGGCGGCUCACUGGCCCGGUACUGACGCUGAGGUGCGAAAGCGUGGGGAGCAAACAGG
rnacentral:rRNA from 1 species